CCUCUUGGUCCUGGUCUGCCAUUUGCUCCAGGUCGUCCGGGUGUGCCAUCUGCUCCAGGUGGUCCUUGUGGGCCUUCUGGUCCUGGGUCACCAUUUGCUCCAGGUGGUCCUUGUGGGCCUUCUGGUCCUGGGUCACCAUUUGCUCCAGGUGGUCCUGUUGUGCCAUUUGGUCCUAUUGGUCCUGUUGGUCCUGUUGGUCCUGUUGGUCCUCUUUGUCCUCCUUGUCCUCUUAGUCCUCUUGGUCCUCUUGGUCCUGUUGCACCAUUUGGUCCUGGAGGACCAGGUGGUCCUGGUGGCCCAGGCGGUCCUCCGUCUUCUCUUGAUUGCGCAGAACUGUCAUCUUGUCUCUUUACCUGUGCACCCAGACAGCUGGCUCCUGCAAUAGUUGACAUUGACAUCUCUGUAACCGUUAAAUUACUUUUUGUUACCUGGAGUGAGAUGACUUACCAAACAGGAGGGCAACAAUGAACACCUUGAGGAUGAUCAUUAUGGCUUAUGAUGUCCUGAAAGACAAGUGAAAAGGAACAGUGAACAUAUGUCUAGAGCAGUGGUGGCCAACCCGCGGCUCGCGAGCCGCAUGCGGCUCCUUGCCUGGUUUCAUGCGGCUCCUUUAUGUUCAUAUCAACAUUGUGCGUGUUCACUUCGCUUGAGUUCAAUAUAUAUUUAUACAGUCAAACCUCAGUUGGGGGUGAUAGUUGAUGUGUGCUCAUGUGUUUGAUGUGGCUCUUUGCGGUAACACAGUAAAAAAUGUGUCUCUUAGUCUCUGACUGGUUGGCCACCCCUGAUCUAGAGGAAGUCUAUCAGGGAGGCAUCAUGUGAGAAAUGGCUGCUUUGACAGUGUGAGUUUGUCAGGGCUCAGUUUCCAU